AUGGCUCCUUACAGGCAGUCAACUUUUGGAUUCAGAGGUUCACUUAAACUGCAACACAAGCACUAUGGUGCUUUCCUGAUUACACAACGAGUGGGUAAAGUGGCCUACAAACUCCAGCUCCCUGAUCACAUCAAAAUUCAUCCUAUGUUUCAUGCUACUCAACUCAGAAAGUACCUAGGCCCACAAGCUAUUCCUAGCCCGAGCAUGCCGACUGUGAAUGAGGAUGGUACACUCAAGGCUGCACCAUCACUAAUUCUUCAGGUACGACAAAUCUCUCAUUGCAAUAUUCCCGUGGUUCAGUGGCUCGUGCAGUGGUAG
rnacentral:rRNA from 1 species